rnacentral:rRNA from 1 species
AAGUAAGUAAGAUCCCUCAAAGACGAUGAGGUAGAUAGGUUCGGGGUGGAAGCGUGGCGACACGUGCAGCUGACGAAUACUAAUCGAUCGAGGACUUAACCAAA